rnacentral:rRNA from 1 species
CACCGCGGUUAAACGGGAGGCCCAAGCUGACAGUCACCGGCGUAAAGAGUGGUUAAUAGACCUACAAAACUAAAGCCGAACAUCUCCAAAGUUGUAAAAUGCACUCGAAGAUAUGAAGACCAACCACGAAGGUGGCUUUACAUUCUUUGAAUCCACGAAAGCUAGGGAA